UCACCCCUGCCGAACCCAGCAACAUAUCAUUUUAUGAUUAUGCAAAGCGACUUAUAAAUUAGUUUUUUUUAAUGCAAUUGAAGACGAAAAGUAAAAUGAUGUUUAGGUGAUCAUUAAAUAAAGUACAGAAUUGUUUAUUAUUGGUGUUUUGUCUAUUCUGAUUUGUUUUGCUUCGCAUUCAAAAUAUCAAAAAACAGAUUUUGUAAUGUUAGCAUGGUAAUGUUAAUUAGACCAUUAUAGGUUGAACUGAAAGAAAAAUUGGAAUUUGAAUAAAAAUA